GAGUCAUACUCUACCACCUUCCCUACAUUAAUCAAAAUGAUUGCAACAAUAAAUUCAAAUUGUUCAGAAAAAGCAGAAUGCAGUUUGACAAUAAGUUAUCCACCUACUUCUAUUCAUCUCUGCAUUAUAUCCAAUUAUCCAUGUCUCAGUUUAUGCUUAUAGUUAUUAGAUAGUAAUUCUCACUCUUAUUUUCUAAAGCCAAACCUAGAAAAGCAAAUGCACUAGCAUUUAUGAAGCAUGUAUUUCUUAUGAAUCAUUGGCUGGCUCAUGUUCAAAGCCUAGCAGAGUGAGUUUUAAGUUAUUUCCAUGAAAGAAUACUUCAUCUUCUGUAGGAUAAUUUCAGCUAACCUUCAUCAAGAACCAAAACCAAG
rnacentral:misc_RNA from 1 species